GGAUUGCAAAAGUAAAACUGUGCUUUUUCCCAAAAAUGGCACUGCUUUCAACUGCAAGGCUGCAGAAGCAUUCAACAUGGGCACACCUUUAACUAGGACUUGAGCCACAAACGUUUGGAAACCUCAUUCAGUGUGAAACCAUUUUAAAACAGUGAACCAUGUAAUGGAGCCUGGAGGACCAUAACCAUUUCAAUUAAAUGCAGUGGUUAUGGUGUCUUUAGUGUCCCUUUAAAAAGCCCACUGGUAAACUAGAAUUUCACAGUCUAC